rnacentral:rRNA from 1 species
GGGAGGCAGCAGUAGGGAAUUUUGGACAAUGGGGGCAACCCUGAUCCAGCGACGCCGCGUGAAGGAUGAAGGUCUUCGGAUUGUAAACUUCUUUUGUUUGGGACUAAGAAACUCGUGGAAACACGGGGAGUGAAUGUACCAAGCGAAUAAGCCACGGCUAACUUCGUGCCAGCAGCCGCGGUAAUACGAAGGUGGCAAGCGUUACUCGGAAUUACUAGGCGUAAAGGGCAGGUAGGUGGUCUGAUAAGUCUGUUGUGAAAGCUCCCGGCUCAACUGGGAGAGGCCAACGGAUACUAUCAGGCUUGAGUAUAGGAGAGGUUACUGGAAUUCCCGGUGUAGCGGUGAAAUGCGCAGAGAUCGGGAGGAACACCAAUGGCGAAAGCAGGUAACUGGACUAUUACUGAUACUCAGCUGCGAAAGCUAGGGGAGCAAACAGGAUUAGAUACCCGUGUAGUCCG